rnacentral:ncRNA from 2 species
AAAAAUAAAGGUGAUGGAGUUCACCAUAAUCGCUAAAUGCUAAUGACUCCUAUAAGUAA